CAAAACUUGUACAGAUAUGGUAAGAAAAUGGUAAUAUGGUUACUGUAUUUGAUGGCGCCGUUUACGAUUUUCUCUUCACUGUGCAAGAUGGAAAUAAAAUGAGCAAUUAAGUGAAAUAUAUUUAUAAGACACAUGUUUGUAUGUGUAUACAUGUAUGCUUGUAAGGGAACAUUUUCCAGCAAUUACUGACAACAAGGUACGUUAUCAUUUUAAAAAGGAAUGACCAUUUUCAAGAGCUUUUCAGCAAACUUUGCACGGUUGGCCCAAGCUUUCUACAUGAUUAAACCCGACCAGAUCAGGAAUGUGUAUUUACAGUUCAGGUGACGCAUAAUGUCCCCCGGGAGUACUAUAGGUACGGAUUAUUCCGUAUCUAGAAUAUAAUUGAAACAAUUAUUGCGUAAUGGUUCAAGCGCCAAAUUGCAAAAAUUUAA
rnacentral:sRNA from 1 species